UGUAUGUAGCAUCUGUGCAGGCCUAGGCCAAUAGGCUCCACCAUGCGGUGCCGCUCUCUUUGGAGUCUCCUGAAGGGGAGGAGGGCCCUCUUGGCUGCUCUUCUGACUCCAACAGCUGGAUGAAGCCUAUUCUUGUCCUACAGGAGCCCCACUGGAAGUGAAUAAGCUCAGUUGCCAUAUUUGGACCAAAAUUCUCACAUUUGAUACUGGAAGGGGUGAAAAGAGACCUGUUCAGGGGCAGUGCCCAGUGAGGAGACCCUCAAACGAGAGGCAGAGUCCCUCAAGCCUUUGUACAAUGCCACCAAGGGUGCUGCCCCUUCUUCAACAGAACGUCCUCCUUGCAGGGAGGCUGCAGUGAUGUCAGAGAUGAAUCACAGGCCAGAGGUGAGAGCUGGAGAAAGGGAAACUCUCCCAGUCCCUGGGAGUGGUCAUUACAGACUGGGAAAUCGCUCUCCAGCUGAUGGUAAAGGACUGCAAAUCCUAUUCAUGUGACUCAGGGCCUGGUGUGCCUUCUGGGAAGAAAGCAGAAGAGGGUUCCUAACUGUAGAAGGGAAAAGUUUCCCUUUAUUCUUCCAGCCACGUGGUUCAAUAAGCAUGUACAAGCUCUUACCAGGGCCAGGCACUGUGCGGGCACCAGAAACAUUAAGAUGGAAUGACACAGGUCUGCCCUGGAAGAAACAUUAAGAUGGAAUGACACAGGUCUGCCCUGGAAGGGCUCCUUUCCAGGGCUCAGGGACUCUGUGACUCCUUUUGGGGAGCAGAGUUGUGGACAAGAGUGCAUUUUUCUAGAGAGAUGGUCCACAAGCCAUCCAGAGCCAGGCUCUGUCUCCAGGUACCCUUGAUCCUUGGAGACCUC
rnacentral:lncRNA from 10 species